CACAAUAAAAUAAUAGGCCCAAACCUCAAAGGUCCAGCCAGAAACCCGGCCAGAGAGCAAGUGAAACCCGGCCCAGUCAAUUGUCAAACGGGUCUCUCACCAACUCUCUGAAUAUGUUAUACAAAAAUGGCAAAAAACAGACUGCAGAGGCUGCACUGCAGGAGGAUAGUAGGAACAACAGACCCAAUUACAAAAUCAAAUCAAAUUUGACAUGC
rnacentral:lncRNA from 1 species